rnacentral:snoRNA from 1 species
GCAUGGGCUUGGAUUCAUGGCAGGCCCGUCCCCCUGGGUCUCAUCGUGCCCCGUGCCAGAGCACACUGGCCUGGAACCAUUGCCCUGCCUCUGCCAGUAGGUUGCAGGCACUGAAAUGGGUUACACAGUG